rnacentral:rRNA from 1 species
GAUGAACGUUGGCGGUGUGCCUAAUACAUGCAAGUCGAACGGAGACUGUAGCAAUACUGUCUUAGUGGCGAACGGGUGAGUAACGCGUUGGUGAUCUGCCUCGAAGUGUGGAAUAACCUCCCGAAAGGGAAGCUAAUACCGCAUAGUCUCUCAAGGUUUAGAAAAUUGAGAGUAAAGGAUUUAUUCGCUUCGAGAGGAGCCUGCGUCCCAUCAGCUAGUUGGUAGGGUAACGGCCUACCAAGGCAAUGACGGGUAGGGGACCUGAGAGGGUGGCCCCCCACAAUGGAACUGAGACACGGCCCGACGACUCCUACGGGAGGCAGCAGUGGGGAAGUAUUGCGCAAUGGGGGGAACCCGUGACGCAGCAACGCCGCGUGAAGGAUGAAGGUUUUCGGAUUGUAAACUUCUUUGGCAGGGGACGAAGUAAGACGGUACCCUGAGAACAAGCCACGGCUAACUACGUGCCAGCAGCCGCGGUAAGAGUGUGUGUA